AAGAAUAGAACCGGUCUGGGUUUUCAGCAAGGUUCAUCAACUGCUAGAUCAGAGGAUAUGCAACUUAGCUUCCGUAGCGGAGGGUUCAUUCAUGGCAAUGAACAACACUUAGCUGCAGUGCUAGAGGAUGACGAAGAAGAUGACUACACCAAUUUUAUAACGCAUGGAAAGGCUUGCAACAAUUGGACUGCUGUUGAUAUUCAUGUU
rnacentral:lncRNA from 1 species